rnacentral:rRNA from 1 species
GAUGGACGCUAGCUACAGGCUUAACACAUGCAAGUCGAGGGGAAACGGCAUUGAGUGCUUGCACUCUUUGGACGUCGACCGGCGCACGGGUGAGUAACGCGUAUCCAACCUUCCCAUUACUGUGGGAUAACCUGCCGAAAGGCAGACUAAUACCGCAUAGUCUUCGAUGACGGCAUCAGAUUUGAAGUAAAGAUUUAUCGGUAAUGGAUGGGGAUGCGUCUGAUUAGCUUGUUGGCGGGGUAACGGCCCACCAAGGCGACGAUCAGUAGGGGUUCUGAGAGGAAGGUCCCCCACAUUGGAACUGAGACACGGUCCAAACUCCUACGGGAGGCAGCAGUGAGGAAUAUUGGUCAAUGGACGGAAGUCUGAACCAGCCAAGUAGCGUGCAGGAUGACGGCCCUAUGGGUUGUAAACUGCUUUUGUAUGGGGAUAAAGUUAGGGACGUGUCCCUAUUUGCAGGUACCAUACGAAUAAGGACCGGCUAAUUCCGUGCCAGCAGCCGCGGUAAUACGGAAGGUCCAGGCGUUAUCCGGAUUUAUUGGGUUUAAAGGGAGCGUAGGCUGGAGAUUAAGUGUGUUGUGAAAUGUAGACGCUCAACGUCUGAAUUGCAGCGCAUACUGGUUUCCUUGAGUACGCACAACGUUGGCGGAAUUCGUCGUGUAGCGGUGAAAUGCUUAGAUAUGACGAAGAACUCCGAUUGCGAAGGCAGCUGACGGGAGCGCAACUGACGCUUAAGCUCGAAGGUGCGGGUAUCAAACAGG